rnacentral:rRNA from 1 species
CCUACGGGAGACAGCAGUGAGGAAUAUUGGUCAAUGGACGAGAGUCUGACCCAGCCAAGUAGCGUGAAGGAUGACUGCCCUAUGGGUUGUAAACUUCUUUUAUAUGGGAAUAAAAUGUUCCACGUGUGGGCUUUUGUAUGUACCCUAUGAAUAAGGAUCGGCUCACCCCGUGCCAGCAGCCGCGGUAAUACGGAGGAUCCGAGCGUUAUCCGGAUUUAUUGGGUUUAAAGGGAGCGUAGGUGGAUUGUUAAGUCAGUUGUGAAAGUUUGCGGCUCAACCGUAAAAUUGCAAUUGAUACUGGCAGUCUGGAGUACAGUUGAGGUAGGCGGAAUUCGUGGUGUAGCGGUGAAAUGCUUAGAUAUCACGAAGAACUCCGAUUGCGAAGGCAGCUUACUAAACUGCCACUGACAUUGAUGCUCGAAAGUGUGGGUAUCAAACAGGAUUAGAUACCCGGGUAGUC